rnacentral:tRNA from 1 species
GGGGAUAUAGCUCAGUUGGUAGAGUACUUGCCUAGUAAGCAUAAGGCCCUGGGUUCAAUCCCCAGCACCA